ensembl:lncRNA
ACAAGGUUGGAAAGGACCUACAAGAUCAUCUAGUUCAACCCAUCAUCUAGUCCUCCCAUUACCGUUGCUACCACAAGCCAUUAAACCAUAUCUCGUAGCUCCUCAUCCAGACACCUCUUGAACACUGCCAGGGAUGGCAACUCCACCACCUCCAUGGGUAGGCCAUUCCAGUGCCUGACCACUCUCUGAGAGAAAAAAGUUUUUCCUCAUGCCUUAUCUAAAGCUCCUCUGGUACAGCUUGUGGCCAUUUCCUCGGGUCCCGUUUGUUGCCUGGGAGAAGAUCUGGGAGAAGAUAGUUGCUUGUGGUGACAUGGAGCUUGCAGUGUGCCAACAGGUAUCUGCAGUGUGGGCAGAUGGUGGCAUCCUGACUAGAUGCAAAAAAAAAUUUAAAUGUCCUCAAAAUAAGAACUAGUAUCCUGUCAAUCCAAAAGGUCACUGAGCAUGGAAACAGACCUUCCUAUGUAUAACUCUUGGCACUGACUUAUAAAGAGAGAGCAGUAGCAGUUUCCUACUGUGCAAUGAAAGUUACAGUGAUAACAAAGUUUUCCAAAAAGAUGUGCUGGAGAAACAAAAUUGAGUCCAUGGAGUAUGCAUUUUGUACUUCUUAAACAGUACACCAUGUCUUAAUUCUCUGCGGUGAGGAACAAAUGUGUUAUUUUUUAAAACUCUAUUCUUUUGCUUGUGAAUGAUUAACUACUGUCACAAAUUGAACUCUGCAUGUGUCAAGUAAAUAAAAAGCUUGCUUUUUUAUCUGGGCUGCGUAAUAUUGGAUCCUUACAUCUUAAACAAAAUAGAUAAUUUUGACAAGGUGUGCAUGACCUAGCCAAUGGCUAGCAAGUGACUGGCACAUUUUUCCAGUGCAAAAGAUGUGUCAUGGAUGUCAUGUCCUCAUAGUCAAGCAGAUAAGUAGAUGGGCUCAGCUGGAGUAAAUCAUCAUCUCAGUUCACAAAACAGUAAGUUCUGGAAGAUUUCUUCUUAGAGUUGGACUUGGAUUUGGAAUGAUGUCCACUAUGGAAUAGCAGUUAGUUACAGAUUGCAAGUUUCUGGAUUUUCCUUGAGUUUCAGCUAAUGACCUGCCGAAGCCACUUCCUGAGCUUGCUUGAAAGGAUGGCUCAGUACUUAGCUCUGUAUUGUAUGACUCAAAUGCAAAAUUUGGCCUAGCCUGCACAGGAGUAUAACAGGAUAUGUGACUCUUAAAAUCAGUGACUGUGUUCUAGCACCAAUAAAAGAAGUUAACAGUUUUUAAGAAAAACUGAGGUGUCUUAUCAUCGUCCAACAAAAACUGUCAAUAAAUACCUCUUAGUUCUGGAGCUUUUUCUUCCAAGAAGAUCAGACUCAGAAACAGUUUAUUGAGUUGGAAAACUGCCUUUUAUUGAGACUGCUACUUCUUUGCUUAGCUUUUUGUUUGUUUGUUUGUUUCUUCUAUGUUUGUAAGUACGGGUACCUAUGUAAAAUGAAAUUAGAGAUGUCUCCAAAGAUCUGGAUUAAACACAUUAGCUUUGCAAAGUCUGGGAUUUCAAAACUGUAUUUUCUUUAUGAUUCCUAUAAUCUCUGUCCACAUCAUUUUUCCCCUAACAUAUUAUCUGUUUUUGAUCCUUGUUUCAGGUGCCAUGUUCUUCCUGAGUAUCUGCAGAAUGUAAUGGUUAGUUCUAAGUGUCAUUUAUUGAGUCUAAUAUUUUAAAUUAAAUCUUGUC